rnacentral:rRNA from 1 species
UUUUUAAUAAAUUUUUGCUCCACGCGAGAAACAUGACGCACGUGCGCGGUAUUUAUUAAACAAUGUUUCUCAUUUUUUACGUUUGCGGUAAGUUAUAGCUUGCGGCGCAGUACUCACGCGUCUAGGGGCGGCGUUGAGGUGGAAAAGGUACCGCGUUGUGAAAGGGGUCGAAACCGCGGUACAACUCGUGUUGGUGCGGUAGAGAGGGAAGGGUGGAAACGGUGGAAAACCCGUCUUUGUUGUUGAGCGGGAGAGUACGUGGUAACGCGUGGGUAUCCGUUAUUAGGAGCGGUGGAAAAGAAUGUACGGAGGUGUUUAUGGUGGAGCUGGGAGGGGCGAGAAUAAGGGACGAAGGCGGGAGUAACAUGUCUGAUGCGAUCAUACCAGCACUAAAGCACCGGAUCCCAUCAGAACUCCGAAGUUAAGCGUGCUUGGGCGAGAGUAGUACUAGGAUGGGUGACCUCCGAAGUUAAGCGUGCUUGGGCGAGAGUAGUGCUAGGAUGGGUGACCUCCUGGGAAGUCCUCGUGUUGCAUUCCC